UUUAUCAUUUUUUUGUUAGCAAUAAUACUAAUUUAAGGGAUGUAUAGAUCGCACUUUUGUGCUCUCAUCACACCCCCCAACUAGCUUAUUGCUAGUCUCUAGCAAUUAACGAGCAAAUACUAAAAUGAGAGUGCAAAAGGUGUGGUUUAACCUGUGACUUUUUAUUGAAGCUAAAGAUAUAAAACUAAGAUAUGUACCCACUUUCGUAGGGCUCACGAUUGCACUUAGCACGUGCAACAAGCCGUUAAACCCCUAGGUUACCCUAGUGGACGAGUGUUGUCUCGUGAGGGUUUUUAGGGAUGCUACCCACAAACAUCAUACAUGAUAUGAUAUGACAUGAGAUCCUAAAAAAAAUGUGGAAUAAAUUCUAAGCUAAUACACAUGUAAUUAAUUGAUAUAUAUUUUCAAGCAUGGCAACUAUCAAAGCAAGGAAAUAUAAAAGUGUAGUGUGCAUCAAAUCGCAUGACUUUCUCAGAGUACUAAUACCUCCACCACAACAGAGCACCGCAUGAGUUUUAGGUGCGCUACUCAAGUUUAUAAGUAUUUUCUACAAUUUGUUAGAACCUGAUCCAUCAAAUUUUCAGAAUAUCACAUGUUGUCUAAAUUUGUCAAGAAUGGUUUGCAUGUAAAGAAAGAGCUAUCAAUC
rnacentral:lncRNA from 1 species